GAUGAACGCUGGCGGCGUGCCUAAUACAUGCAAGUCGAGCGAACAGACGAGGAGCUUGCUCCUUUGACGUUAGCGGCGGACGGGUGAGUAACAUGUGUAUAACCUCCCUAUAAUACUGGGAUAAUUUCGGGAAACCGGAGCUAAUCCCGGAUAAUAUCUUGAACCGCAUGGUUCAAUAGUGAAAGACGGCUUUGCUGUCACUUAUAGCUGGAUCCGCGCCGCAUUAGCUAGUUGGUAAGGUAACGGCUUACCAAGGGGGCGAUGCGUAGCCGACCGGAGAGGGUGAUCGGCCACACUGGAACUGAGACACGGUCCAGACUCCUACGGGAGGCAGCAGUAGGGAAUCUUCCGCAAUGGGCGAAAGCCUGACGGAGCAACACCGCGUGAGUGAUGAAGGUCUUCGGAUCGUAAAACUCUGUUAUUAGGGAAGAACAAAUGUGUAAGUAACUAUGCACGUCUUGACGGUACCUAAUCAGAAAGCCACGGCUAACUACGUG
rnacentral:rRNA from 1 species